rnacentral:rRNA from 1 species
AUGCAAGACGCCGCUAUUGAAGAUGACAUGUACUUGCUGUCCCAGUUACCAUCUUCGAAUAUAAUGACUUUCAAAGCGUACAAGAUAAAUGAGAAUACAUUUUACACGACCACCCAAGAUAAGAAGAACACCAACCAAAACAGUGGUGUCCGCUUUGAUGCAGCAACCAAGACAGUAAAGAAAACAUAUUAUGGUUACAUAGAGAACAUAUGGGAACUUGACUAUGGACAUGGUUUGAAGGUCCCUUUGUUUCGGUGCAAAUGGGUGAAUAUGACACGAGGCGGGGUAAUGGAAGACCCGCAGUACGGAAUGACAACAGUGGAUCUCAACAAUCUUGCGUAUGCAGAUGAACCAUUCAUCCUAGCCAAUGAUGUGGCACAUAUUUUCUAUGUGAAGGACAUGUCCACCAAGCCGAGAAAAAGAAAAGAUAAGGUAGCGAAUGCAUCAUACGAUGAUCCAAAGCGCCACAUAGUUUUUUCUGGGAAA